rnacentral:rRNA from 1 species
AACGAACGCUGGCGGCAGGCCUAACACAUGCAAGUCGAACGCCGUAGCGAUACGGAGUGGCAGACGGGUGAGUAACGCGUGGGAACAUACCCCUCGGUUCGGAUAACUCAGGGAAACUUGAGCUAAUACCGGAUAAGUCCGAGGUUUUAAUCGACCUUGGAGAAAGAUUUAUCGCCGGAGGAUUGGCCCGCGUCUGAUUAGCUUGUUGGUGAGGUAAUGGCUCACCAAGGCGACGAUCAGAGCUGGUCUGAGAGGAUGAUCAGCCACAUUGGGACUGAGACACGGCCCAAACUCCUACGGGAGGCAGCAGUGGGGAAUAUUGGACAAUGGGCGAAAGCCUGAUCCAGCCAUGCCGCGUGAGUGAUGAAGGCCUUAGGGUUGUAAAGCU